ACGGAGGUUUAAGAAGGUGAAGCUAUCAAAGCAUAUAGUUUUCACUGAUACCUACCUCCAAGAGUAACAGCAGUAGUGUGAACCACCUGAUCUCCAGAGAUAGGUCCUGAGUGCUCUGCACCUACUCACAAUA
rnacentral:scRNA from 1 species